rnacentral:rRNA from 1 species
GAUGAACGCUGGCGGCGUGCCUAAUACAUGCAAGUCGAGCGAACGGACGAGAAGCUUGCUUCUCUGAUGUUAGCGGCGGACGGGUGAGUAACACGUGGAUAACCUACCUAUAAGACUGGGAUAACUUCGGGAAACCGGAGCUAAUACCGGAUAAUAUUUUGAACCGCAUGGUUCAAAAGUGAAAGACGGUCUUGCAGUCACUUAUAGAUGGAUCCGCGCUGCAUUAGCUAGUUGGUAAGGUAACGGCUUACCAAGGCAACGAUGCAUAGCCGACCUGAGAGGGUGAUCGGCCACACUGGAACUGAGACACGGUCCAGACUCCUACGGGAGGCAGCAGUAGGGAAUCUUCCGCAAUGGGCGAAAGCCUGACGGAGCAACGCCGCGUGAGUGAUGAAGGUCUUCGGAUCGUAAAACUCUGUUAUUAGGGAAGAACAUAUGUGUAAGUAACUGUGCACAUCUUGACGGUACCUAAUCAGAAAGCCACGGCUAACUAUGUGCCAGCAGCCGCGGUAAUACGUAGGUGGCAAGCGUUAUCCGGAAUUAUUGGGCGUAAAGCGCGCGUAGGCGGUUUUUUAAGUCUGAUGUGAAAGCCCACGGCUCAACCGUGGAGGGUCAUUGGAAACUGGAAAACUUGAGUGCAGAAGAGGAAAGUGGAAUUCCAUGUGUAGCGGUGAAAUGCGCAGAGAUAUGGAGGAACACCAGUGGCGAAGGCGACUUUCUGGUCUGUAACUGACGCUGAUGUGCGAAAGCGUGGGGAUCAAACAGGAUUAGAUACCCUGGUAGUCCACGCCGUAAACGAUGAGUGCUAAGUGUUAGGGGGUUUCCGCCCCUUAGUGCUGCAGCUAACGCAUUAAGCACUCCGCCUGGGGAGUACGACCGCAAGGUUGAAACUCAAAGGAAUUGACGGGGACCCGCACAAGCGGUGGAGCAUGUGGUUUAAUUCGAAGCAACGCGAAGAACCUUACCAAAUCUUGACAUCCUUUGACAACUCUAGAGAUAGAGCUUUCCCCUUCGGGGGACAAAGUGACAGGUGGUGCAUGGUUGUCGUCAGCUCGUGUCGUGAGAUGUUGGGUUAAGUCCCGCAACGAGCGCAACCCUUAAGCUUAGUUGCCAUCAUUAAGUUGGGCACUCUAAGUUGACUGCCGGUGACAAACCGGAGGAAGGUGGGGAUGACGUCAAAUCAUCAUGCCCCUUAUGAUUUGGGCUACACACGUGCUACAAUGGACAAUACAAAGGGCAGCGAAACCGCGAGGUCAAGCAAAUCCCAUAAAGUUGUUCUCAGUUCGGAUUGUAGUCUGCAACUCGACUACAUGAAGCUGGAAUCGCUAGUAAUCGUAGAUCAGCAUGCUACGGUGAAUACGUUCCCGGGUCU